rnacentral:rRNA from 1 species
UACGGAAGGGGCAAGCGUUGUUCGGAAUCAUUGGGCGUAAAGGGCGCGUAGGUGGUUCUGUAUGCCUACCGUGAAAGCGUACGGCUCAACCGUAUUUUGUCGGUGGAAACUGCAGGACUUGAGGCUGGGAGGGGCUGGUGGAAUUCCCUGUGUAGCGGUGAAAUGCGUAGAGAUGGGGGAGAACACUCGUGGCGAAGGCGGCCAGCUAGACCAGUUCUGACACUGAGGCGCGACAGCGUGGGGAGCAAACAGG